AAAUCUGAAUUAAUACCCCAUAAUAUUACACUUUGGCAUCAUUGUGUGAUUAAAGCUCCGGCGGUAAUUGACGGGUAUGCGUUGCAUUAGCUAGUUGGUAAGGUAACGGCUUACCAAGGCUACGAUGCAUAGGGGGUCUGAGAGGAUGAUCCCCCACACUGGUACUGAGACACGGACCAGACUCCUACGGGAGGCAGCAGUAGGGAAUAUUGGGCAAUGGACGAGAGUCUGACCCAGCCAUGCCGCGUGCAGGAUGACGGUCCUAUGGAUUGUAAACUGCUUUUAUAUGAGAAGAAACCCUUGGAUGCGUCCGAGGCUGACGGUAUCAUAUGAAUAAGGAUCGGCUAACUUCGUGCCAGCAGCCGCGGUAAGACGAAGGAUUCAAGCGUUGUCCGGAUUUACUGGGUUUAAAGGGUGCGUAGGCGGAUUAUUAAGUCAGUGGUGAAAGCCCGCAGCUCAACUGCGGAACUGCCAUUGAAACUGAUAAUCUUGAAUAUGGUUGAGGUAGAUGGAAUGUAACAUGUAGCGGUGAAAUGCUUAGAUAUGUUACAGAACUCCGAUUGCGAAGGCAGUCUGCUAAGCCAUCAUUGACGCUGAUGCACGAAAGCGUGGGGAGCGAACAGGAUUAGAUACCCUGGUAGUCCACGCCCUAAACGUUGAUAACUCGCUGUUGGCGAUAUACUGUCAGUGGCUAAGCGAAAGCGUUAAGUUAUCCACCUGGGAAGUACGACCGCAAGGUUGAAACUCAAAGGAAUUGACGGGG
rnacentral:rRNA from 1 species